GCUACCAGAUGACGAGCGGCGGACGGGUGAGUAAUGCUUAGGAAUCUACCUAGUAGUGGGGGAUAGCUCGGGGAAACUCGAAUUAAUACCGCAUACGUCCUACGGGAGAAAGCAGGGGAUCUUUGGACCUUGCGCUAUUAGAUGAGCCUAAGUCGGAUUAGCUAGUUGGUGGGGUAAAGGCCUACCAAGGCGACGAUCUGUAGCUGGUCUGAGAGGAUGAUCAGCCACACUGGGACUGAGACACGGCCCAGACUCCUACGGGAGGCAGCAGUGGGGAAUAUUGGACAAUGGGGGGAACCCUGAUCCAGCCAUGCCGCGUGUGUGAAGAAGGCCUUUUGGUUGUAAAGCACUUUAAGCAGUGAAGAAGAAGUUAUGGUUAAUACCCAUAAUGGAUGACAUUAGCUGCAGAAUAAGCACCGGCUAACUCUGUGCCAGCAGCCGCGGUAAUACAGAGGGUGCGAGCGUUAAUCGGAAUUACUGGGCGUAAAGCGAGCGUAGGUGGCUUAAUAAGUCAGAUGUGAAAUCCCCGGGCUUAACCUGGGAACUGCAUCUGAAACUGUUCGGCUAGAGUAGGUGAGAGGGAAGUAGAAUUCCAGGUGUAGCGGUGAAAUGCGUAGAGAUCUGGAGGAAUACCGAUGGCGAAGGCAGCUUCCUGGCAUCAUACUGACACUGAGGUUC
rnacentral:rRNA from 1 species